rnacentral:rRNA from 1 species
UACGGGGGGGGCAAGCGUUGUUCGGAAUUACUGGGCGUAAAGGGCGCGUAGGCGGGCCGCCAAGUCCGCGGUGAAAUCCCCCGGGCUCAACCGGGGAACUGCCGCGGAUACUGGAGGUCUCGAGGGAGGUAGGGGCAUGCGGAACUGCGGGUGGAGCGGUGAAAUGCGUUGAUAUCCGCAGGAACUCCGGUGGCGAAGGCGGCGUGGCUGG